AAACUUUAGACUUGUACUGUAUAUCUACUCUGAAAUUGUUUUGUGUGGAAUGUCCUUCAGUCAGCAGAGUUGAUUGGAAACUUUUGAAUAACGUUUAAAUAAUUGUGACCAAUGUUUUUUCCUCCGAACCAUCAUUAUUUCCUUUCAACCACACACUGGACACCAUGCAGGAGGUCCGAGUAAAUCAUCUAAAGCCUGCGGUGAUCAAGAUCUACAACUACUACCAGCCAAGUGACCAGGCAGAGACAGAAUAUGUCUUCCCUUGCAAGUAGGGGUUACAAACUGGUAAUCUAUUUAAAAUCUUGAAUUAAUGCUCAUUUUAGAUACGCUAUACAGUGCAUUAGGAAAGUAUUCAGACCCCUUCACUUUUUCCACAUUUUGUUACGUUACAGCCUAAUUCUAAAAUGUAUUAAAUUAACAUUUUUAACAUCAAUCUACAGACAAUAGACAAUGUCUUUGUUUCUCAAAUGACUGCCUCGCCUGAUUCACCAACUACUUCUCAGAUAGAGUUCAGAGUGUCAAAUCGGAGGGCCUGUUGUUCGAACCGCAAGCUGGAUGUAGUCUAUCAUAGUGCCAUUAGUUUUGUCACCAAAACCUCAUACACUACCCACCACUGCGACCUGUAUGCUCUCGUUGGCUGGCCCUCGCUUCAUAUUCGUUGCCAAACCCACUGGCUCCAGGUCAUCUAUAAGUCUUUGCUCGGUAAAGCCCCGCCUUAUCUCAGCUCACUGGUCACCAUAGCAGCACCCACCUGUAGCACGCGCUCCAGCAGGUAUAUUUCACUGGUCACUCCCAAAGCCAACUUCUCCUUUGGCCGCCUUUCCUUCCAGUUCUCUGCUGCCAAUGACUGGAAUGAAUUGCAAAAAUCACUGAAGCCUCAUAUCUCCCACACUAACUUUAAGCACCAGCUGUCAGAGCAGCUCACAGAUCACUGCACGUGUAAAUAGGCCAUCCAACUACCUCACCCCCAUACUGUUAUUUAUUUAUUUUGUUUUAUUUGCUCCUUUGCACCCCAGUAUCUCUACUUGCACAUUCAUGUUCUGCACAUCUAUCCCUCCAGUGUUUAAUUGCUGAAAUUGUAAUUAUUUCACCACUAUGGCCUAUUUAUUGCCUUACCUCCCUUAUCUUACCUCAUUUGUACACACUGUAUAUAGUAUUUUUAUAUUUUGUUACUGACUGUUUAUUCCAUGUGUAACUGUUGUUGUUUGUGUCGCACUGAUUUGCUUUUUCUUGGCCAGGUCGCAGUUGUAAAUGAGAACUUGUUCAACUAGCCUACCUGGUUAAAUAAAAGGUGAAUUUUAAAAAAACAUUUUUUUUUUAAACAAUACCCCAUAAUGACAAAGGUUUGCAAAUGUAUUACAAAUAAAAAACAGAUGCCAUAUAAGUAUUCAGACACUUUGCUAUGAGACUCGAAAUUGAGCUCAGGUGCAUCCUAUUUCAAUUGAUCCUUCGUGAGAUGUUUCUACAACUUGAUUGGAGUCCACCUGUGGUAAAUUAAAUUGCUUGGACAUGAUUUGGAAAGGCCCACAGUCUAUAUAAGGUCCCAUAGUUGACAGUGCAUUUUAGAGCAAAAACCAAGCCGUGAGGUCGAAAGUAUUGUCCGUACAGCUCUGAGACAGGAUUGAGUCGAGGCACAGAUCUGGGGAAGGGUACAAAUACAUUUCUGCAGCAUUGAAGGUCCCCAAGAACACAGUGGUCUUCAUCAUUCUUAAAUGGAAGAAGUUUGGAACCACCAAGACUAUUCCUAGAGCUCGCUGCCUGGCGAAAUAGAGCAAUCGGGGGAGAAGGGCCUUGGGUCAGGGAGGUGAUCAAGAACCAAUGGUCACUCUGACAGAGCACCAGAGUUCCUCUGUGGAGAUGGUUGUCCUUCUGGAAGGUUGUCCCAUCUCUGCAGCACUCCACCAAUCAGGCCUUUAUGGUAUAGUUGCCAGACGGAAGCCACUCCUCAGUAAUAGGCACAUGACAGCCCGCUUGGAGUAUGCCAAAAGUCACUUAAAUGACUCAGACCAUGAGAAACAAGAUUCUCUUGUCUGAUGAAACCAAGAUUGAACUCUUUGGCCUGAAUGCCAAGCAUCACGUCUGGAAGCAUGGUGGUUGCAACAUCAUGCUGUGGGUAUGUUUUUCAGCAGCAGGGACUGGGAGACUAGUCAGGAUUGAGGGAAAGAUGAACAGAGCAAAGCACAGAGAGAUCCUUGAUGAAAACCUGUUCAGCACCUCAGCCUGGGGCGAAGGUUCACCCAACUGGACAACAACCCUAAGCACACAGCCAAGACAAUGCAGGAGUGGCUUCGGGACCCGUAUCUGAAGGUCCGUGAUUGGCCCAGCCAGAGCCCGGAUUUGAACCCACCUAAAGUUAGCAAGAUGCUGCUGACAGAGAUUGUCGCCUCGCUUCGAGUCCUUAGAAAACUGUUACAUACGCCUCUAGGAAGAGGGAACGUAACACCCUGCUACAACUCAACUCUCCUUGGUGUGAAAGAGGUAUGGGACUGUAGGUGCGAGUAUGGAUGACAAAAGGCAGAGAAUUGACCGUUUACUAGGAAUGUAUUCCUUCACACAGUGAUACAGGGAAAAGGGGCUGGACGGAACCAAAGCAAAUAAAGUAAAUGUCAAAGCCCCCCUCCUAUCUUACCUGCCUACCCACUACUUAUCUAACUUAGCACCACCUGAUGCGCUAACCAAAAUACAGGGGGUGGUCCGCCCAGGUCUUACCUAGUGUGCAUAGACAGAGUAUAUACUACGGGUCUAUGUAUGCCCGCGGGCCUUUUGCCUAAGCACUCCCUAGGUGCCUUCGCCUUCCCCCCUGGGAACAAAUGAAACAGAAUAUUACAAACUACUUCACAAUGCACUGCACAAAACUAUUUGUGGAUUCAGCCAUUUCAGCCACACCCAUUACUGACAGGUGUAUAAAAUCGAACACACAGCCAUGCAAUCUCCGUAGAGAAACAUUGGCAGUAGAAUGGCCUUACUGAAGACCUCAGUGACUUUCAACGUCAUAGUAAUUUCAUACAAUUUCUGCUCUGCGAGAGCUGUCCCGGUCAACUGUAGGUGCUGCUGUUCUGAAGUGGAAACGUCUAGGAGCAACAACAGCUCAGCUGCAAAGUUUUAGGCCACACAAGGUCACAGAACAGGACCGCCGAGUGCUGAAAUGUAAGAAGAAAAUGACAUUCACCUGCAACCCUUGAGACAUCUUUCAAGCUCUAAAGUAAAUGAUGUAAC